rnacentral:rRNA from 1 species
CUGAUCCUUCGGGUGAAAGUUGGCGACGGGUGAAUUACGCGUAAAGAACUGCCUACAGACUGGGACAACAUUUGGAAACGAAUGCUAAUACCGGAUAUUAUGACUGAGUCGCAUGCAUUUGGUUCAUGCAAAGCUAUAUGCGCUGUGAGAGAGCUUUGCGUCCCAUUAGUUAUUGGUGAGGUAAACGGGCUCACCAAGACGAUGAUGGGUACCGGCCUGAGAGGGUGAACGGCCACAAGGGGACUGAGACACGGCCCUUACUCCUACGGGAGGCACAGUGGGGAAUAUUGGACAAUGGACCAAAAGUCUGAUCCAGCAAUUCUGUGUGCACGAUGAAGUUUUUCGGAAUGUAAAGUGCUUUCAGUUGGGAAGAAGUCAGUGACGGUACCAACAGAAGAAGCGACGGCUAAAUACGUGCCAGCAGCCGCGGUAAUACGUAUGUCGCAAGCGUUAUCCGGAUUUAUUGGGCGUAAAGCGCGUCUAGGCGGUUUAGUAAGUCUGAUGUGAAAAUGCGGGGCUCAACCCCGUAUUGCGUUGGAAACUGCUAAACUAGAGUACUGGAGAGGUAGGCGGAACUACAAGUGUAGAGGUGAAAUUCGUAGAUAUUUGUAGGAAUGCCGAUGGGGAAGCCAGCCUACUGGACAGAUACUGACGCUAAAGCGCGAAAGCGUGGGUAGCAAACAGGAUUAGAUACCCUGGUAGUCCACGCCGUAAACGAUGAUUACUAGGUGUUGGGGUCGAACCUCAGCGCCCAAGCUACGCGAUAAGUAUC